AGUGAACGCUGGCGGUAGGCCUAACACAUGCAAGUCGAACGGCAGCACAGUAAGAGCUUGCUCUUACGGGUGGCGAGUGGCGGACGGGUGAGGAAUACAUCGGAAUCUACUUUUUCGUGGGGGAUAACGUAGGGAAACUUACGCUAAUACCGCAUACUACCUACGGGUGAAAGCAGGGGAUCUUCGGACCUUGCGCGAUUGAAUGAGCCGAUGUCGGAUUAGCUAGUUGGCGGGGUAAAGGCCCACCAAGGCGACGAUCCGUAGCUGGUCUGAGAGGAUGAUCAGCCACACUGGAACUGAGACACGGUCCAGACUCCUACGGGAGGCAGCAGUGGGGAAUAUUGGACAAUGGGCGUAAGCCUGAUCCAGCCAUACCGCGUGAGUGAAGAAGGCCUUCGGGUUGUAAAGCCCUUUUGUUGGGAAAGAAAAGCAGCAGAUUAAUACCCCGCUGUUCUGACGGUACCCAAAGAAUAAGCACCGGCUAACUUCGUG
rnacentral:rRNA from 1 species